GCCUGGGUAGCUCAGGGGUAGAGCACCGCUCUGAAAAAGCGGGUGUCGGAGGUUCGACUCCUCCCCCAGGCA
rnacentral:tRNA from 1 species